rnacentral:lncRNA from 1 species
GCAUUUGUAAACUGCACUUUGGGAGGGACGGGUAGGAUUUGGUUGGGGCGUGCAUGGAGACCUUACUCCACUGUCGUCUUUGCUAACACUUACAUGACUGAUAUCGUUGCUCCUGAGGGCUGGAACGACUUUAACGACCCUUCAAGAGACCAGUUAAGUAGUUUCGUCAUCUCAUCUAAACGAUUAAACUAUCAAAAUAAUUUUUUUUACAACUCAACAUUGGAACUUAAUUUCCCAUUAAAGUGAGUUAUAGCUCAGUUCCUCUCUUUAGUCCAUCCCAUUAAUUGCCUGGAUAUAAAUCCCCUACCAAUGUAACAUUUCGUGCAAUAUACCACAGCUGCAACUUCACAUUUGAAAAACAAAUACUAAGCAAUACUCUCACCUAGGGCUGUACAUAACUUGGUAAAUACCGAAUUAUCGUAUUAAAAUUAAAAAUUUUGGUAUUUGGUAUUCGAUAUGGUUUGAUUCAACUUUUAAAAACAAUUGGUAUUAGGUAUGAUAUGUAAUUUUUCAAAAAUGAAAUAUCGAUACCGUACUGAAAUAGAUAAUAUAUUACACAAUACACAUAUUAUUAAUUAUAACAUAUAUAAAAAAUCUAAAAUUGUACUUUCCUUUAUUCUCUAAGUUCAUCAAUUGACUCAAACAAGUAACAAGACAUUUCUAAUAAUCAAAUUUAUUUUUUUAUGUAUAGUUUUCUCUCUCUGAGUUAAUAUUUGCUGGUUUUGGACAAAAAUUUUGUCAACAAUGUUUUUUGUUUUAUAUUUUUGAGUACUUUAAUUAAGAAUAUUACAGUCUAUGAAUCUACACACUAGUAAGUAUUCAAACCGAAUAAACCUAAGUUACCAAAACGAAUAAAUGGAAACUGAAAGGAGAAAAAUCGAACUAUAUCAGAAUUUAAUUAAGUACAGUAUUAAUAUAGCAUUUUAAGAAAUCGAAUACCAAAAUUAUUGAACCGAAAUAUCUAAAUAUCGUACCAUAUCGACCGAAGAACACCCUUAUAUCCUUGCGUAUAGUUUCUCAUGAGCAACCAAUCUAAGGAUGAAUAUCCACUUAUUAGGCGCACCAUAAGAAAUUCAAAAUGCACCACAAAAUAAAUUUUAGCUAGGCCGUUGCUCAAAACAGAUAACAUUUACUUUUGGUCAUGAUGACUAAGAAGAUUAUCACAGAACGUCGGCACUAAAAACCUUAUUUUAUAUAGUGCUUAUCAUAAUGAAAAUUAUUUGUUUUCAACUUAACAUUAUCAUUCGACUUAUAUUAUUGGUUGUAAAGUUUAACUUAUUAGAAUAAUUCAUACAGGACAAUCUUUUAUGUGGAGUACAACUGUUCAGGAGCAGGAUCCAGUAUGACAUUGAGGGCACCAUAUGUUCAAAGACUAAAUGAUACACAAAUUCUUCCCUUCCUCAACUCGUCUUUCAUUGAUGCUAAUUUGUGGCUCCAAUCUUUUACCUCUUAGCAUCCUUCGUAGAGGAGAAAUUAAGAUUUGAAGUUUAUAUAUUCGGGUUUUCAGUCGGUUUAUAAAGUUAUUGGAUUCUAAAUUUAUAAUUUAUAUAUAUUCAAUAAAUUUUUUAAUACAAAUAUAAAGUUUAAAUCAAAAUUACUGGAUUUGACCGAGUCUACCGUCCGCCUCUGUGGCGUGUGCACAUAUACAGACUAUAUUUCCGAAUUAGACGAGAUUAUUGUACUUUUUAUUAUGGGUUUAUCUUUUAUCCAUUGACAGUACCGUAGAUGAAGUUAAUUGCAUAAUCAGUACUGUUUAACAAUAAAAGAUUCUUAUUUUCAUAUUUAAUGGAUACAGUAUCAAUGUGUAGAAAUUAAAUCCGUUAUUAUUAUUAUUAUUAUUAUUAUUAUUAUUAUUAUUAUUAUUAUUAUUAUUAUUAUUGUUGUUGUUGUUGUUGUUGUUGUUGUUGUUGUUAUGAUUGUUACUGUUAUUGUUAUUGUUAUUGUUAUUGUCACACUUCCUUUUUUACACAUCUGAGGUGAUAUAAAAGAGUUUUUCCACUUUAAGUGAUAUUAUUCGAAAUGAGAUUAUUUAUUCAUUUUUAUUCAGAGUCUCCACUUGGAAUAUUUUAAUUGGUGUCCUAAGUCACCGGUUUAUUUUAAAUCCCAAAUCGAGGAAAUUUUGAUUUCCUUUUGAAGUCUACGAACACAGAAAUUCUGUUAACCCUGGAGAAGGUGUUAGGCAUUCCCGGAUUCCGUGGUUCUAGCACAAUAGCUUAAACUAUUGCAAUUGGCCUAUUAUGUAAUUUUAAUAAAUGUUUUAGUCUAUGACAUAUUUUAACUUAUUAAACGCUUAAUUUAGGAAGCUUCAAUGUUAUCUAAAACAUAUCUUGAUUCACGUCACAUGAAAUGCACCGUGAUUCAUAACAUAUUUUAUUUAACAUUGUUAAGAAUUUGAAAUUGCGUCACAUAAAAUACACACUCAAAUUUAAAAAAUUAAUUUUAAAAUAAUGUGCCUAAAAUAACUAGCGCAUAAAUAGAGAUUUGAGAUUAAAAAGUGUUAGUCAUGAAUAAUGAAAAUUUGCUGUAAAAAUGGUGGCUUAGAUCGUUAAACUAUUAGGCCAAAAUAUGGAGGUAAUUGGCGUCAAUGCACCAACAAGCCGUGGAACCAAUCCAUAAAGAGAAAAAAUGUGAACACAAAUAUUAGAUCAAACCUCCACCACAUCAGCAGAAGAGUAAAUGCGUUCGAGAAGCUGGCAUGUGAAGAAAUUUUUUCAAGACAUUACAAUCCAUGUCACGUUGGGUGCACACAAACCAAAGGCCUCAUAAAUUUGUUCUGCUUUUCAAGUUCUCUUUUCCAACAUGUUAUUUUACAGAUCACAGCCAAUAAAAUGGAAAUUAAUUCCUCUAAAUCAUUAUCACAGACCUAAAGCAACUUAAACAGAUUAUGUAUCAUACUACUAAUAUUUUUAACAUGUAACUUUGAGAUAAAACGAGAUGAUUACGUGAGUAAGUUAUUGGAUAGGGAAGCUCGCCAACUGAAUAAAACAAAUUGUACGAAAAAUACUUUAUUCACAUAAAUUUCACGAAGAAACAGAAGCAUGCAAUCAUAAAUAUAGAAUUACACCAAAGUGAAAGAAAAUAACCUCAAAAUGAACCUUCACACAAGUGGGAUGAGCUACUGUUGACCGGACCAGCAAUCGGAAGCCUCGAACGGAACAUGACUUCGACCGGAAAACUUCUAACUCAAACGGACCUUUAAAACUUGAAUCUCGGCUGCUUUUUAACAGUGAUGGAAGCUAGCUGUUGGGUUCGUGUUCUCGGUUGGUUUACAAGUAGUUUGAGGUCGGUUUUUGGAGGAAGAAUACAAGCACCAACUGCUGCGCUUUUGCCACAUGAAGCUGCUGCAUUUUUAUUGCUUUUUGGACGGUUCGAAGCUAGGUUGGUGGUAUACUUCAGCUGGAUUUCUGGGAUGGUUUUUGGUUUGUUUUUGGCAUGUAUUUUAGGGAGGAAGAAAGGGUUGUUUUGCUGGUGGAUUUUGGUGACGAAAAUGGUAUUUUCAGCUCAUUUCCACGGUUGGAUAUGGAGCUUCUGGAGUAGUUUCUGGGUUUAGUUCCUAACUUUCAUGGCUUUUCAUUGUGAUUUUCAGGUUGAAGAUCUCAUGGAAGAAGAAGAAGAAGUUGGGGCUAUUUUUUAUUGUUCUCCCUCUGCUCAGCUCUCCUCUGAUCUCUGUUACUCCUCUCUGUUUUUGUUUUUCUGUAUAUCUGAUCCCCUUCCUUUUAUUUUGUCCUCUGUGUGUGU